UACGUAGGGGGCAAGCGUUGUCCGGAUUUAUUGGGCGUAAAGAGCGUGUAGGCGGCUGGGUAGGUCCGCUGUGAAAACUCGAGGCUUAACCUCGAGACGUCGGUGGAAACCAUCCAGCUAGAGUCCGGAAGAGGAGAGUGGAAUUCCUGGUGUAGCGGUGAAAUGCGCAGAUAUCAGGAAGAACACCCGUGGCGAAGGCGGUUCUCUGGGACGGUACUGACGCUGGAGACGCGAAAGCGUGGGGAGCGAACAGG
rnacentral:rRNA from 1 species